AACGAACGCUGGCGGCAGGCUUAACACAUGCAAGUCGAACGGUUGUAGCAAUACAGCAGUGGCAGACGGGUGAGUAACACGUGGGAACCUUCCUAGGGGUACGGAACAACUCAGGGAAACUUGAGCUAAUACCGUAUACGUCCAUGAGGAGAAAGAUUUAUCGCCCUUAGACGGGCCCGCGUCGGAUUAGCUAGUUGGUGGGGUAACGGCCUACCAAGGCGACGAUCCGUAGCUGAUCUUAGAGGAUGAUCAGCCACACUGGGACUGAGACACGGCCCAGACUCCUACGGGAGGCAGCAGUGGGGAAUCUUGGACAAUGGGCGCAAGCCUGAUCCAGCCAUGCCGCGUGAGUGAAGAAGGUCUUCGGAUUGUAAAGCUCUUUUACCAGGGACGAUAAUGACGGUACCUGGAGAAUAAGCCCCGGCAAACUUCGUG
rnacentral:rRNA from 1 species